rnacentral:rRNA from 1 species
AGUGAACGCUGGCGGCGUGCCUAAUACAUGCAAGUCGAACGCGAAAGUCCUUCGGGAUGAGUAAAGUGGCGCACGGGUGAGUAAUGCAUGAGAACAUGCCCUUAGAUGGGGAAUAACGUUUGGAAACGAACGCUAAUACCGCAUAAUCUCGAGAGAGUAAAGGUGGCGCCGCAAGGGCUACCGUCUAAGGAUUGGCUCAUGUCCCAUUAGCUAGUUGGCGGGGUAAUGGCCCACCAAGGCAACGAUGGGUAUGUGGUCUGAGAGGAUGAUCACACACACUGGAACUGAGACACGGUCCAGACUCCUACGGGAGGCAGCAGUAGGGAAUCUUGGACAAUGGGGGCAACCCUGAUCCAGCGAUGCCGCGUGAGUGAAGGAGGCCCUCGGGUCGUAAAGCUCUUUAGGCUGGGAAGAAGUGUGGAAGAGGAAAUGCUUUUACAUUGACGGUACCAGCAGAAUAAGCACCGGCAAACUCUGUGCCAGCAGCCGCCGUAA